rnacentral:rRNA from 1 species
AGCAGUCGCCGCGGGAAUACAGAGGGUGCGAGCGUUAAUCGGAUUUACUGGGCGUAAAGCGUGCGUAAGCGGCUUCUUAAGUCGGAUGUGAAAUCCCUGAGCUUAACUUAGGAAUUGCAUUCGAUACUGGGAAGCUAGAGUAUGGGAGAGGAUGGUAGAAUUCCAGGUGUAGCGGUGAAAUGCGUAGAGAUCUGGAGGAAUACCGAUGGCGAAGGCAGCCAUCUGGCCUAAUACUGACGCUGAGGUACGAAAGCAUGGGGAGCAAACAGGAUUAGAUACCCGAGUAGUCCCUGUCUCUUAUAC